rnacentral:rRNA from 1 species
AAUUCGAUUAGAGUUUGAUCCUGGCUCAGGACGAACGCUGGCGGCGUGCCUAAUACAUGCAAGUCGAGCGGACAGAAGGGAGCUUGCUCCCGGACGUUAGCGGCCCACGGGUGAGUAACACGUAGGUAACCUGCCCCUUAGACUGGGAUAACUCCGGGAAACCGGAGCUAAUACGGGAUAAUAAAGAGAAUCACCUGAUUCUCUUUUGAAAGACGGUUUCGGCUGUCACUAAGGGAUGGGCCUGCGGCGCAUUAGCUAGUUGGUAAGGUAACGGCUUACCAAGGCGACGAUGCGUAGCCGACCUGAGAGGGUGAUCGGCCACACUGGGACUGAGACACGGCCCAGACUCCUACGGGAGGCAGCAGUAGGGAAUCUUCCGCAAUGGACGAAAGUCUGACGGAGCAACGCCGCGUGAGUGAGGAAGGCCUUCGGGUCGUAAAGCUCUGUUGUGAGGGAAGAACAAGUACCGGAGUAACUACCGGUACCUUGACGGUACCUCACCAGAAAGCCACGGCUAACUACGUGCCAGCAGCCGCGGUAAUACGUAGGUGGCAAGCGUUGUCCGGAAUUAUUGGGCGUAAAGCGCGCGCAGGCGGCUUCUUAAGUCUGAUGUGAAAUCUCGGGGCUCAACCCCGAGCGGCCAUUGGAAACUGGGAAGCUUGAGUGCAGAAGAGGAGAGUGGAAUUCCACGUGUAGCGGUGAAAUGCGUAGAUAUGUGGAGGAACACCAGUGGCGAAGGCGACUCUCUGGUCUGUAACUGACGCUGAGGCGCGAAAGCGUGGGGAGCAAACAGGAUUAGAUACCCUGGUAGUCCACGCCGUAAACGAUGAGUGCUAGGUGUUAGGGGUUUCGAUGCCCGUAGUGCCGAAGUAAACACAUUAAGCACUCCGCCUGGGGAGUACGGCCGCAAGGCUGAAACUCAAAGGAAUUGACGGGGACC